rnacentral:rRNA from 1 species
AUGCACGCUGGCGGCGUGCCUCAUACCUGCCAGUCGAGCGAACAGACGAGGAGCUUGCUCCUCUGACGUUAGCGGCGGACGGGUGAGUAACACGUGGAUAACCUACCUAUAAGCCUGGGAUAACUUCGGGAAACCGGAGCUAAUACCGGAUAAUAUAUUGAACCGCAUGGUUCAAUAGUGAAAGACGGUUUUGCUGUCACUUAUAGAUGGAUCCGCGCCGCAUUAGCUAGUUGGUAAGGUAACGGCUUACCAAGGCAACGAUGCGUAGCCGACCUGAGAGGGUGAUCGGCCACACUGGAACUGAGACACGGUCCAGACUCCUACGGGAGGCAGCAGUAGGGAAUCUUCCGCAAUGGGCGAAAGCCUGACGGAGCAACGCCGCGUGAGUGAUGAAGGUCUUCGGAUCGUAAAACUCUGUUAUUAGGGAAGAACAAAUGUGUAAGUAACUAUGCACGUCUUGACGGUACCUAAUCAGAAAGCCACGGCUAACUACGUG